rnacentral:rRNA from 1 species
CAAUAGCGUAUAUUAAAGUUGUUGCGGUUAAAACGCUCGUAGUUGGAUUUCUGUUGAGGGCAGCCGGUCCGCACUUCGUGCGUGUAUCUGGUUUGACCUCGGCAUCCUCUCAAAAUACGUUUCUGCGCUUGAUUGCGUGGAGCGGAGUUUGAGACUUUUACUUUGAGGAAAUUAGAGUGUUCACGGCGGGCAAUCGCCUUGAAUAUAUUAGCAUGGAAUAAUAAUAUAGGAUCUUGGUUCUAUUUUGUUGGUUUCUAGAGCUAAGAUAAUGAUUAAUAGGGACAAUUGGGGGCAUUCGUAUUAACGCGUCAGAGGUGGAAUUCUUGGAUUGCGUUACGACGAACUACUGCGAAAGCAUUUGCCAAGGAUGUUUUCAUUGA